GACGAACGCUGGCGGCGUGCUUAACACAUGCAAGUCGAACGAUGACGACCGAGCUUUCUCGGUCUGAUUAGUGGCGAACGGGUGAGUAACACGUGAGCAACCUGCCCUUCACUCUGGGAUAACCUCGGGAAAUCGGGGCUAAUACCGGAUAUGAUCUCCUGUCGCAUGGCGGUCGUUGGAAAGUUUUUCGGUGAAGGAUGGGCGCGCGGCCUAUCAGUUUGUUGGUGAGGUAGUGGCUCACCAAGGCGAUGACGGGUAGCCGGCCUGAGAGGGCGACCGGCCACAAUGGGACUGAGAGACGGACCAGACUCCUACGGGAGGCAGCAGUGGGGAAUAUUGCGCAAUGGGCGAAAGCCUGAUGCAGCGACGCCGCGUGAGGGAUGACGGCCUUCGGGUUGUAAACCUCUUUCAGCAGGGAAGAAGCGAAAGUGACGGUACCUGAAGAAGAAGCGACGGCUAACUACGUG
rnacentral:rRNA from 1 species